rnacentral:rRNA from 1 species
UACGGAGGGUGCAAGCGUUAUCCGGAUUCACUGGGUUUAAAGGGUGCGUAGGAGGGCAGGUAAGUCAGUGGUGAAAGCCCGGAGCUCAACUCCGGAACUGCCAUUGAAACUGUAAGACUUGAGGAUGAGAGAGGUGAGUGGAAUUCCCAGUGUAGAGGUGAAAUUCGUAGAUAUUGGGAAGAACACCGGUGGCGAAGGCGGCUCACUGGCUCAUAUCUGACGCUCAGGCGCGACAGCGUGGGGAUCAAACAGG